GUCUGGAGUCCCCCCCAAAGGAUUUAUGGGAUUUUUGGGAUCCCAAAAGGGUCUGGAGUCCCCUCCAAAGGGUUUAUGGGAUUUUUGGGAUCCCAAAAGGGUUUGGAAUCCCCCCCAAAGGAUUUAUGGGAUUUUUGGGAUCCCAGAAGGGUCUGGAGUCCCCCCCAAAGGAUUUAUGGGAUUUUUGGGAUCCC